rnacentral:rRNA from 1 species
CACGUAGGAGGCGAGCGUUGUCCGGAGUCAUUGGGCGUAAAGGGCGCGUAGGCGGUUUGGCAAGUCGGUCGUGAAAUCCUUCGGCUCAACCGAAGAACGUCGAUCGAUACUGCUGUUCUUGAGGGUUGCAGAGGAGACUGGAAUUCCCGGUGUAGCGGUGAAAUGUGUAGAGAUCGGGAGGAACACCGGUGGCGAAGGCGGGUCUCUGGGCAAUUCCUGACGCUGAGGCGCGAAAGCGUGGGGAGCAAACGGG